AAAACGCAGUUCGCGAAAACAGGCACGCCAUGUAAACGUCGCUGAACGACCGAACAAUAUUAUAAUAUUACAAUAACAUUUGCGUUACGUUGAAUCAAAAGCUUCGGAUAUUAUACGCAAAUUUAUUAUUGUUUUGCUAUCAUAAUAUAUUAUGAACGUGCAGGACAUUUUCGACGCGUUCCCGUCUCGGCGUUAGUCCGGACGUUUUUUACGACCGGACAGAAAAAUAAAAUAAAAUACGCAGCCCGUGACGACGACCUGAUAAACGUUUAUAAUGCCGGGGCUCCGUUAGAUUUCCCACGUACGACGAACCGCAAAGCAUAUAGGCGAAUUCUGAGCCCCGACCCCGAUUUUAAAUAUAGGUAGGUAAU